GGAUGUGAGGGCGAUCUGGCUGCAACAUCUAUCACCCCGUUGAUCGCCAGGUUUGAUUUGGCUGAUGUGGCUGGUCAGGGGGGUUUCCCCUCCCUUCCUUGCCACUCCAGUGUGUCCCCCUUGAAGACGUACACUCAGAGAGGACGAGCUUCCCUGCUAGAAGCUCCAAACAAGCUCUCUAAUGUCAUGGCUACAUUGCAGAUAUUUAUGGCAGCUUACAAGUAACUGACACUGGACCAGGUUAGGAACUACCUAUUAGAACAGUCAUGCAGACUUGUCUUUCUGAACCU
rnacentral:sRNA from 1 species